rnacentral:rRNA from 1 species
AACGAACGCUGGCGGCAUGCCUAACACAUGCAAGUCGAACGAGACCUUCGGGUCUAUUGGCGCACGGGUUCGUAACGCGUGGGAACCUGCCCUUAGGUUCGGAAUAACUCCCCGAAAGGGGUGCUAAUACCGGUUAAUGUCUUCGGACCAAAGAUUUAUCGCCUUUGGAUGGGCCCGCGUUGGAUUAGCUAGUUGGCAGGGUAAAAGCCUACGAAUGCGAGGAUACAUAGCUGGUCUGAGAGGAUGAUAAGACACACUGGGACUGAGACACGGCACAGACUGCUACGGGAGGAAGCAGUGGGGAAUAGUGGAAAAUGGGCGAAAGCAUGAACAAGCAAUGACGCGUGAGUGAUGAAGGCCUGAGGGUUGUAAAGCUCUAUUACAAGGGAUGAUAAUGACAGUAACGGGAGAAUAAGCACCGGCUAACUCCGUG